CAGAACGAACGCUGGCGGCAGGCCUAAGUCAUGCAAGUUGAACGGCUGUAGCAAUACAGCAGUAGCGGACGGGUGAGUAAUGUAUGGGAACGUAUCUUCUAGUGGGGAAUAUUCUUUGGAAACGAAGAGCAAUACCGCAUGAGUCCUACGGGAGAAAGUCGCAAGACGCUAGAUGAGCGGCCCAUAUUGGAUUAGCUAGUUGGUUAGGUAAUGGCUGACCAAGGCAACGAUCCAUAGCUGGUCUAAGAGGACGAUCAGCCACAUUGGGACUGAGACACGGCCCAGACUCCUACGGGAGGCAGCAGUCAGGAAUAUUGGACAAUGGGGGCAACCCUGAUCCCAGCCAUGCCGCGUGAGUGUUAAGGUCUUCGGAUUGUAAAGCUCUUUUGUGUGGGAAAAUGAUGAUGGUACCACAAGAAUAAGCACCGGCUAACUUCGUGCCAGCCGCCGC
rnacentral:rRNA from 1 species